rnacentral:rRNA from 1 species
AUUGAACGCUGGCGGCAGGCUUAACACAUGCAAGUCGAACGAGUGGCGGACGGGUGAGUAAUGCUUGGGAAUCUAGCUUAUGGAGGGGGAUAACUACGGGAAACUGUAGCUAAUACCGCGUACCAUAGGAUGAGCACAAAUGGGAUUAGCUAGUAGGUGGGGUAACGGCUCACCUAGGCGACGAUCCCUAGCUGGUCUGAGAGGCGGACCAUCCACACUGGACCGUAGACACGGUCCAGACUCCUACGGGAGGCAGCAGUGUGGAAUAUUGCACAAUGGGCGCAAGCCUGAUGCAGCCAUGCCGCGUGUAUGAAGAAGGCCUUCGGGUUGUAAAGUACUUGCAGCGAGGAGGCGUUACUCGCAGAAUAAGCACCGGCUAACUCCGUGCCAGCAGCCGCGGUAAUUC